rfam:Magnaporthe oryzae 70-15 chromosome 1, whole genome shotgun sequence.
GGGGGAAUGGCGCAGUGGUUAAGCGCCAUGGCUGUUACUUUGAGUAACGUAGGUUCGAAUCCUGCUCCCUCCA